ACUACAAAUGGUAGUUACAAGCAUCAACGGGUAGAGGAAUCGCCAGGUCACAUCCCCGUGUGGUCCACCUUUUGAGUCAAGACGUUUCUUCCAGGUGAACUCCAUUAGAUUAAAAUCAAAAUAGCAGCAUAGGUGAUUUUAUUAAUACCGAGCUAGAUAAACGUACCUCCGGAAGAGCUGCUGCCUGUACAAAGGACAACCCUUUAACUUUGAGGACAAAUUUACAGAAUGGAAACCACUUGGCGUGCUCAGUCCAUGGAUCAUCGUUCGGUUCCCACUCCUGGAGACCCCCGUCACAGUAAUGGCACCGGACAGUGUCUGCUUCACCUGUUCAGGGUUUAUAUUUACAUGUUAAAUAUGCAAUUUGAAAAAUUGAUAUGAAGUCCGUUCUGGACGCGGAAUUUGAACAGAUGUCCAAUGAACAAGAACUACAUCUCGCCUUAUCAACAGUAAAAACGUCAUUCCAAAUUAUGUCUUCAAUACUGACAGAAAAAAAUGAAUACAGUACAUGUACCUACAGAACAUGUAUCUUUGAUGAGGUUACAUUAUUACAAAGUUAAACCAUCAAAAUAAUCAAAUAUAAUCCUGUAUACCUGGUAAUUUUCGUUCCCGUUUAGUUUUCGUCAUUUUCGUCCAUUAGUCGAAUCAUAAACAAUCAUGUACUAGGCUUAGCAUUUCUAAUUAAAAAACGAUACAUGCGAAUUUUUUUUCAAAAAUUCAUGAUUUUUAAAAAUGAUGUAGUCCGGUAAUGAUAAAAUGAAAUACAGAGUGACAUCAAAUUCCUGCAAUGGAAAAGACUAAUUUUAUGAGUUCACGAUCGCUUAAUUGUGGCUUCCAUUCAUGUACAUGUAUGUACAUGUGAACAAGAGAAAACACUGGUCUUACAAUUGAUCGUUGUUUUGUGUUGCUCAAGGGCGAAAAUAACCUGGGGCGGAAAUUACCAAGUAUUCAAUUGUAGUUGUGUUUUUGUGCAAUGUUGAAGUAUGUUUAUUUCUGGUGUUUUUCUAAAAUAUUAAAUUCAAAUUUUAAUUCAAAUCUACUUCAAAUUAAUUAUUGGUCAUAAGGUCAUAAUUUUAUUCAAUUAAAGAAAUAGAAAGAGGCACACUGAUGUUACCGUUUUAAUGCAAUCAGUUAUUGUCAUGGCUUUGAGAUUGAUUUUUUUGAUGUUUUGAUUGCAUGGUAACUUUGUUAGUUAAAUCACACUUAUAAAGAUGUACAAUAGAUAUGCAUAAACCCAUGACAUUACGACAUUAUACGUAUAAUGAUACAUAAUAUUAUGAUCCUGCUUAAAACUUAAUAAUCAUGUGACAUACCAAUAACACAUUUGCUAGUUACGCCGGUACUGAUUGCUUAAGAGGGUUGAAUACUUGUUUUAGGUCAAUUCAAUAGUUGAAAGCUACCUGUAUACUAUAUUGAAAUAUAUGUAUGAUCUCGCGUGAUCUUGUGUUGUGGGGACAUAACACAAAAUACAGUUCGGGUGGCGGAUGACAAUAUAUUAUAUAUUGUCAUUAUGGCGGAUUAUGUUUUCUUCCGCUCACCUUUGCUGAUAUUUUCAAGUGUUUUGUUAUUAUAAAAUAUUUGUUAAUUCAUUUAAAAUAAAGUUCAAGAAAGAUAAAUUAUAUUAAAUUGAUUAUAACAACUCUUCGAUUUAAAAUUAAAAUGUUUUAAAAAAUAAAUAUUGCGGCCACUUCUAAAAAGUGAGCCAUUAUUUCGCCACA